GAAAGGAGACUUGGGAUCCUAGAGGGAGACGUCUGACCCAACACCUGCGGAGCCUGCAAAACACAGACAGGAGCCGGGUGUAGCGGGGCACAGACAUAGUGGGCAGCUGGACACUGCAGAGCACAGACAAGUCAUGUGAAUAGACAAACAUGCACCACUGGACCAGGUAGCGAAUUAUUGCUAAUGAAAAACAGCCAACAUUUAAAAUGCCAGUACGACACUGGCACCACCCAGAGGUUGUCUCCUUAUUGUGCUCAAAACUCAUUGGUGCGUGAGAGCCCGGAGGGUUACCAUGACAACGGCGCUGGAGAGCGCACAACGCUUGACGGUGACAUCAUCAGUCCCCGUCCAGGACCCGCUCAUGCUGCGUGGGACAUGUCUGCGUGGGACAAUCAUUGGCUGAGGACGGGGUUUUUACUCCGAAACAUGUCGGCUUUGGGAAUAAAGACCAUGCUUAUUUGAA